ensembl:lncRNA
CUCUCUCUCUUUAUGGCCACACCUGUGGCAUAUGGAAGUUCCCAGGCUGGGGGUCGAAUUGGAGUUGCAGUUGCCACCCUACACUGCAGCUCCAGCCACUUGGGAUCUGAGCUGCAUCUGCAAGCUAUGCCAAAGCUUUUGGCAAUGGCAGAUCCUUAACACAUUGAGCGGCCAGGGAUGGAACCCGUCUACUCACAGACACCAUGUUGGGUUCUUAACCCUGCUGAGCCACAAAGGAAAAUCCCUUAUAUAUUCAUAGCAUUAUUUCAUGAACAUAUGACUACAAGCUUCAUGUAGCAUGGGGAGGGGCUCUUCUCUAGUGCCUGGCACAUUAUAGGUACCUAAUAAAGAUGUGAAUAAGUGAAUAAAUGAAUGAAUGAGCAGUACAGUGUGUGUUCAGUUAAGGUCUGAAGUUGGGUACAACCCAAAUUCUCACUAUCCAGUUAUGUGACCUUUGGCAUGCUUUUUUCCCCUCUAAGAUUUUGUUUCCUCGUGGGUAAAAUGGAGAUAAUAACAGCAGUUUCCUCACAUGGCUAUCAUGAGUUUAAAUGAGAAUUGGCAGAAAAUAAGCACUUACUAUUACUGUUAUCGGUAUUGCUGUUGUUGUCCUAACACUCUCUGGCUUUGCCUUGGUCCCUGGAAUGAAAUUAUUACCAACUCAAAUCUCCACUUUUUCUUUCUUGGUCAGUGGGAGGGGAGAAAUCCUUGCUCAGCUUCUGGACAGCCUAGUCUUGGUCACUGGUCACUGUUGGUUUCCUGUCACCUUGGCUGCCUGGCUGACUCCCAGUGGUGUCAGCUAAUUUCACCCACCCCUCUCAGCCAUUGGCGGGCUACAGUCUUGUUUUCCUACAAGUCUUUACAGAUCCAGUUCUUUGAUUUAUCUAGUUGUAUCAUUUGUGACAGUACCCAGUUCCUAGGAUCAAGCAUAGUUUCUCUGAAGGGACAUAAAUUCACACUCAAAAGUGGUUCCACAUUCCUAACUUCCAAACACUGUCCCCAGACCAACCACGUACCUCCUGACUUUUAGGAUGACUUCCUGCCCCAACUAGGACAGUGUCUGGCAAGAAAAUGGAUGACUACUGUCCCUCCGUCCCUUGGGACAUUUUAGCUUUGGGGACAAACAAGUUUAGUCACUGACGCUGAGGAAGGCCUCAUGCAAAGAGAAGGCUCACUUGCUCAGUCAGCCGGACCAGACCAGACCAGACAAGCCUGAUUUGCCUGAAGGUCCUGGCUCCCGGACCCUCACUGUAUUUAUAAGUCUUAACAGUGUAACUAUGAAUUCCAUUCCGGUGAUGUUGCUUCUGGCUGGCACAUGGCCAUGGUUUUUCCCGUCGUUCACAAGCAGUUUUGAGGCCUGCUGAUAUGGGCAUGGAAAGCACUGGGCUCUCUUUUAUGUAACCAUGUGCAUGCAUUCUCUUGCAAGGUUGUCUUGGAUAUGUUUUACAUGUCCUAAAUAUUUUCUGAAAAGAUGGCUACUUCCACUUAGGGAGGAAAAAGUGCCUUCUCUCCUCUUGCCUCCCAAGAUACUGCUUUGCAGAACACUCUAUAAAAAUAAAGAGCUUUUUACUGAGUUUGGGAUUUAAACAAAGACAAAGAAAAAGCA